rnacentral:rRNA from 1 species
AAUAGAUACCCGGGUAGUCCACGCCGUAAACGGUGGGCACUAGAUGUGGGGCUCUUUCCAUGAGUUCCGCGUCGCAGCUAACGUAUUAAGUGCCCCGCCUGGGGAGUACGGCCGCAAGGCUAAAACCCAAAGGAAUUGACGGGGGGCCCGCACAAGCGGCGGAGCAUGCGGAUUAAUUCGAUGCAACGCGAAGAACCUUACCAAGGCUUGACAUAUACCGUUCAUCCCUAGAGAUAGGGAGUCCUUCGGGGUCGGUAUACAGGUGGUGCGAUGGUUGUCGUCAGCUCGUGUCGUGAGAUGUUGGGUUAAGUCCCGCAACGAGCGCAACCCUCGUUCUAUGUUGCCAGCACGUAAUGGUGGGGACUCAUAGGAGACUGCCGGGGUCAACUCGGAGGAAGGUGGGGAUGACGUCAAAUCAGUCAUGCCCCUUAUGUCUUGGGCUUCACGCAUGCUACAAUGGCCGGUACAAAGGGCUGCAAUCCGUAAGGUGGAGCGAAUCUCAAAAAGCCGGUCUCAGUUCGGAUUGGGGUCUGCAACUGCCCC